UACGAAGGGGGCUAGCGUUGCUCGGAAUUACUGGGCGUAAAGCGCACGUAGGCGGUCUUUUAAGUCGGGGGUGAAAUCCUGGAGCUCAACUCCAGAACUGCCUUCGAUACUGGAAGACUUGAGUCCGGGAGAGGUGAGUGGAACUGCGAGUGUAGAGGUGAAAUUCGUAGAUAUUCGCAAGAACACCAGUGGCGAAGGCGGCUCACUAGCCCGGUACUGACGCUGAGGUGCGAAAGCGUGGGGAGCAAACAGG
rnacentral:rRNA from 1 species